CGACAUGGCCGUGUGCAUGAGCCCUUUGUCUGAUAAUUAAAAAUGUUGAAUCUUUUGACAACCACUUUAAGAAACUUUGCAUAUAGGUGCCUUUUUGUGUAUACAGCUCCCAGGGCUACCUUCGUGUUGCUCCACUACCUGGAGUAUGUGGGAAGGGGUAACACCUGCGCAGUCCAUGAAAGCCUGGAGAUCAACGUAGGAGCUGCAUCCACAAAAUGGCUGAUUUUAAAUCUACACUCAGUUUUGCUUUAUUUUAUGUUAUAGAUGUCUUGGCUGAUGAAUGCUUUCAGUGUUCAUAUCCUCUGGUUUUAUGUUUUCUGCUGCGUAACCCACUAUAAAAGGCUACUUGCACCUGUUGCCGAUUAGUCUCGGUUUUCCUGUGCAGAUUUUUUGCAGGAAAAAAAAACCACAACGUAAUCCAGUCCCAAAGUGAACGAUAUUUGGCAAAUCUCAUGUACGCUUUGCGUAUCAUUUCUAUAUGGAAAUGAACCUGCUGUGCGGAUUUUGAAAUCCACAGUGUAUCAAUUGUUUCUGUGGAGCCUUAGUGUGGAUUUCACCCUUUGCAUUGCAACGGAGGAGAUUGGGACAAGCUGCAGCAACAUAUGCAAGUAACAUGUGGAUUUUGGUGCUGAAAUGCAGAGAAAUCCGUGUGGAAAUCCAGUGUGCAGGUAGCCUAACUGCAUUCAUCUAACUUGCCCAUACAGAGGCAUGUUUCAGUCUAAAUGGUCCUUUUUAAGUAAGUUGGGGAUAGUUGUGUAAAGGGUCUACAGUAUCUACCCAUUAACCAGUCCUAUGUCACCCUAGGGAAUGGGGAAAACCAAAACGGGGGGCUUUUACCUUCUACGCAGCCAUGUUGCAAGGGUGCCAAUACGUCUCCUGCCAUUUGUAGUCCCAUCACCGCUCAUGGUUCCUUGCAUAGGGAAUGAAAUGUUCUCUUGACCCAAAAACAUCUGUAAGUGACCCUGUCCUAUAAAUUCAUAGAAAAGUAUAGGAAUGGGAACUGCUGCUUUUUUGCUACAAUGGAUGCCUAUGUCAUGGUUAACCCCUUUUCUGACACGUACUUGUUUUCUUCAUCAUGACCAUCCCCCGGGCCGCAUUUGGAAAUCCAGUUGUUGCAUGCACCGAGGUUCCUCCCAUGCGUUCUCUCUAUGGUCAGGCCAGGGGUUUAGUUUGACUCUGAAUGUAGCCAAUGAGCAUCUUUUUCCUUGUAUAUGGUUUCCCCCCUUCAUCAUGCAUUUUUUCAGCCGGCCCCAUGCACUGGCCACUCUGCUUUGCUUGUCUAGACUAAUAAAGAUUCAAUAAUG